rnacentral:lncRNA from 1 species
AGCUAUGGGCCGUGGUUUUCCUUCAGAAGUUGGACUGUGAUGGGCUGACUGAGUGACGGGUUACAUGCAGGUCAUGAACGGCUGACGAUCCAAUAUGGGAGUGUCAGCUACGUUCUCCACUUAUGAAGUUUUUAGAUAUCAUGAGGAUAUAGUCAUUAUGAGGAUGAUUAAACCUAACAAGACUUAUUCUUAGGUCCACCCCCUAGGGUGAACCUCUAGGUUCACCAACCAAUAAGAUUGUCUUAUUUUAUAUUUGAUAUCUUUUAAAAAAGGAAACAAAAUAUUAUCAAAUUAUAUUAUGUUUUUAAAAUUAAAAAGUAAAAAAAAUAAUAAUAAUUACAAAAAAAAAUAUUUUACGUCGUCAGCAUAACAUUAAACCCUAAACCCUAAAUUCUAAUCCCUAAACCCUUAAUCCUAAAUCCUAAACCCUUGGAUAAACCCUAAACUCUAGGAUAAAUCCUAAACUCUAGGAUUAAUCCUUAACUCUAAAUCAAAAUCACUAUACACUAACACAUUCAAGCGUUUAGGGUUUAAGGUUUUAGUCGUUUUUUAUUUAGAGUUUAGGAUUUAUCCAAGGGUUUAGGGUUUACCCAAGGGUUUAGGAUUUACCCAAGGGUUUAGAGUUUAUCCAGGGGUUUAGGGUUUAGGAUUUAGGGUUUAGGGAUUAGGAUUUCGGGUUUAGUGUUUUGUUGACAACAUUAAAAAUACUUUUUUUUAAUUCUUUUUUUCUGUAACUAUUAUCUUUUUUAACUUUUUUAUUUUAAAAACAUAAUAUAAUUUGAGAAUAUUUUGUUUCCUUUUUUAAAAGAUAUCAAAUUUGAAAUAAUGAAAUCCUAUUGGUUGGUGAACCUAGAGGUUCACCCUAGGGGGUGAACCCAAGAAUGACUCACCUAACAAUGUAUGCAAGUCAUCACAAGGAUGAUUUUACGAAUGUCUUGCUUAGUAGGUAAUAAGGAUGUACGUAUCUAUGUUAUAGCUUGGAAAUUAAACCAAGGUGUAUGAUUUCUAGUGUGCUUAAGUUUAUGUGUUAUGAUGAUUGUUUGAUAGUAGUAAAAAUAUAUAUUGUGUUUUGAUUAGUUUUUCAUUGAGUAAUUUAUUAUUCAAUUCCCAUACUUGCAUUUUUU